UAACAGCUGUAUUGAGAUGUCGCCAGUAGGGGGCGAUAUUUUGUCUUUAUAGGAUCUGUUUUCUUUAUUUUGAGGACGGAUGCCCCAGACUCUGCACAGGACCGGAGGACCAUCAGGCCGCUGACCCUGGACAGGGUCCAUACAGAUGAGGCGUCAGGUACCCUGAAAUCAUAUCCUGUGAGCCAGUAUAAGCAGUGACGUAGUUGUUGGAAGAGGAUGAUGAUGAUGAUGAUGAUGAUGAUGCUGAUGAUGUUCUUUGGAGUUUAACCCCAGAACUCUUGUGGAACCAACGGCAUGCAGACGUCUUUGCCACACAUCUUACCCAUACCUGACAGGAAGAGGGCAGUGUGGGAGCAGGUGACUGCAGGCUGGAGCCGACGCUACAGCUGACUUCUUUCUGAGGAACUUCACUGUACUGGCACGCAUUUUCUCCAAAACUACAGUUCCCAGGCUGCAUCAUGGCAGGCUGACUAUGAGACUGGGCUGGGUACAGGCCCUGGUUCGGGCUCUGGUUCUGCAGGUGAGCCUCGUGGCCUCCUGUGGAGCUGUGCUGGAAGUAGGACAGGAAGUCCGGCGAGGAGGUGCCGCUGGCAGACUUUUCUUCUUGUUCCCUCCUCUGAAACAGAACCUCCUCACUGAGGCCCAGCUGGGCAGACAGGUGGGAGAUGUACCUGAUGGUGAGGCGUAGCGUCUCAAUCUUUGUCAGAGUCUGUCCGGCAGGGACCACUGAUGGCGGCAGGUAGGAUCUGAGGUGAUGCAGAGCUUUUGUCAGAUCCCUCAUCCUCAACUUUUCCUUCUCACUUGCACUCUCCCUCUGCUUGCUGCGAACUCGUACCGCCCUGGCAUGGCCCAUCUUCCGACCACGUCUGGGUGGGGAGCAGGUGGAGGACUUGAGGGUCUGAGGGUAUCCGGUUGUGGUGGCCUUGCAAGUGGACUGUGGAGGCUGCUGAUAAGAUGGCGACAGGCUGGAGUCCAUGGAGUGCACAGGGGAGAGAGUUUCUGGAGAGGAGAUGCUGGAGAGCUCAGAGUCGGAGCACCACGGGUACCGCAGGCCGCAGUGGAGCAGAGAGACCGAGGAGGAAUCCAUAUUGUGCUCAAACUGUGAGUGCUGCCCGGAUCCACCGCUGCUUUAUAGGUCCAGGCCCGGCCACAGAGGUGUGAAGUGACACCUCCACAGAUUCUCCCAAAACCACCAGAGUCUGAGGCCCUG